CAGCAGCCGCGGUAACACCGCAGCUCUAGUGGUAGCAGUUUUUAUUGGGCCUAAAGCGUCCGUAGCCGGUUUAAUAAGUCUCUGGUGAAAUCCUGUAGCUUAACUGUGGGAAUUGCUGGAGAUACUAUUAGACUUGAGACCGGGAGAGGUUAGAGGUACUCCCAGGGUAGAGGUGAAAUUCUGUAAUCCUGGGAGGACCGCCUGUUGCGAAGGCGUCUAACUGGAACGGUUCUGACGGUGAGGGACGAAAGUUUAGGGGCGCGAACCGGAUUAGAUACCCGGGUAGUCCUAACCGUAAACGAUGCGGACUUGGUGUUGGGUGGCUUUGAGCUGCUCCAGUGCCGAAGGGAAGCUGUUAAGUCCGCCGCCUGGGAAGUACGGUCGCAAGACUGAAACUUAAAGGAAUUGGCGGGGGAGGCACCACAACGCGUGGAGCCUGCGGUUUUAAAUUGGAUUCAACGCCGGACAUCUCACCAGAGGCGACAGCUGUAUGAUAGCCAGGCUGAUGACUUUGCUUGACUAGCUGAGAAGAGGUGCAUGG
rnacentral:rRNA from 1 species